rnacentral:rRNA from 1 species
AGUGAACGCUGGCGGUAGGCCUAACACAUGCGAGUCGAACGGCAGCACAGUAAGAGCUUGCUCUUACGGGUGGCGAGUGGCGGACGGGUGAGGAAUACAUCGGAAUCUACUUUUUCGUGGGGGAUAACGUAGGGAAACUUACGCUAAUACCGCAUACGACCUACGGGUGAAAGCAGGGGAUCUUCGGACCUUGCGCGAUUGAAUGAGCCGAUGUCGGAUUAGCUAGUUGGCGGGGUAAAGGCCCACCAAGGCGACGCUCCGUAGCUGGUCUGAGAGGAUGAUCAGCCACACUGGAACUGAGACACGGUCCAGACUCCUACGGGAGGCAGCAGUGGGGAAUAUUGGACAAUGGGCGCAAGCCUGAUCCAGCCAUACCGCGUGGGUGAAGAAGGCCUUCGGGUUGUAAAGCCCUUUUGUUGGGAAAGAAAAGCAGCAGGUUAAUACCCCGCUGUUCUGACGGUACCCAAAGAAUAAGCACCGGCUAACUUCGUG